rnacentral:rRNA from 1 species
GAUCCUGGCUCAGAUUGAACGCUGGCGGCAGGCUUAACACAUGCAAGUCGAACGGUAACAGGAGAGAGCUUGCUUUCUUGCUGACGAGUGGCGGACGGGUGAGUAAUGCUUGGGAAUCUGGCUUAUGGAGGGGGAUAACGACGGGAAACUGUCGCUAAUACCGCGUAGAGUCGAGAGACGAAAGUGCGGGACCGCAAGGCCGCAUGCCAUAGGAUGAGCCCAAGUGGGAUUAGGUAGUCGG